CACACACACACGGAGUCUGGACCGUUAUUCUCAAUAACUCCACUUUCAAAAACUACAGUGGAAAAAGUAACAUUAAAUUCAUAUUGCUACUUCUGUCUAAUUAUGUCAAUUACGAAUUCCCUCCGUCUAAAUUGAAUUAACGUCCCCCAUAGUGCCUUUCUCUACAGGAGCUCUAGAUGUGAUGAUAAUUAUUGUAUUUGCCCUCUAAUGAUAUUUACAGUUGAGUGAGAUCAAAAUGACUCAUUUCUUCCCCGUGUUGGUUGUUGUGCAGAGAAGCAGUCCAGACUCCUGGAAAUAAGACAAGAAAGGAAUAUUUGAAUGGGGUAAUAUGCAAAGCUUUAGGUGUUUUUGUUGUUUUGAUCGCUCGGGUCGUCCUCAUGUCAGAGCCAUAUGUAUGCAAGCUAGCUUAUGAUUCACCUGAGCCACACAAUGAGAGGGUUGCUAUUAAUACUGAAACACGAACAAUGCACUGCUUUUCUCUGAGGGCAGCACUCGCGUAACACGACAGGAUCUCACCGCCACACAAACACAGAUUCUAUAUAUAAAUAUGUAUUCUCCAGACUACGAUGGUAUCAACUUUCAAACCCUGAUAUGUCCAAAACCCAUUGCUCGUCCGUGGAGAGCUCGAACUGUUUACUACCUCCUGAUGCUCAAACUACAGCGUGAAAUAGACUCUGGCCGCGUGUUAGCGUAUGCAAAUGAGAGCGAUUUACCCAGAGAAGUGAUCUGCUUGAAGACUACACACCAAACAUUGCAGAAUGGUAUCACAGCAGUCUUCUAAUUUGAAUGAUAUGCAAUAAGAACAGAUCCCAUAUUGUUCUGCUAUGUUCCAUAAAUCUUAGAGCGCCCGCAAACGUCAUGAUUACUACAUGAAUAUAAUUAACAGAUGAUUUAACAAGAUUAUAUUGUAUAACUGUGACUUUUGUGACGCUGUACGGCUGAAGGCCGCAUGCAAACGCAGACCGUACCCAUCCUUUCUCUUUCUACCAGUAAGGUUCAUGAUUAGAUUCUCAGGAAGUUUGUGUUCCGUUUGUCUUUUCCCUUUUGUUUGGUGUUUGUGGUCGGAAUCGGCUGGCUCGCCGCGUUGGACACGCAACCGCUCUGUCGCAGAGCGCCUCCAAUGUAAACGCCACUGAUUCCGCGGCAGCGGCUUGAAAUGAGGCCCCGGCUAAAUUCGGAAUCCGAGAAUCAGAGAAUUGUCAUGCUGAGGCGUUCGGUGGCGUUUAGAUUCCAGGCGUUGUGCGUCUUUGGACGUUGUAAUGAUUCAGUGAUCCUCAUUUGCUUCCACGCUGUUCCAACAACGAGGGCUCGUCCCACGAGCUUUUCAAUCCGUCUUCAUGUUAAAUUUGACUUUUGAUUCGUCGCCGGGACGUGAGAUGUGUUUCUCUUCCAGUUUCCUUUUGGGCACAAAGCUUCUCAGACCAAACCAGCAAUAAAAGACUAAGUCAAUCAUUUGGAGCAGAUCUGGUUUCACCGUUAAGAUCUGUCACCUCUGAAGCAUUAAAGUACGUUAUGCUUUCUUGUUUUACCUGGAGGCCCCGGGCUGAAGGGAGGAGGAGGCCGGUGGCGCUCCCUCUGUGUGUAGCGGUGUCGUGUGUGGGUGGAGGCGGAGGCGGCGGCGCUCCUCUCUGCAUGUAGAACAGAGCGCGUUGUGCUGAUGUCGUGCUGAGCUCGUUUCUUCGUUCUUUCGUUGUAAGCGUCUGUGUUUCUUUCCCUUUUCUCCCGCUGUGAUCAGUAAAUGUAUGGUUGCCCAUAUCUGCCAAGAAAAGAAAAGUAAAAGUGGGCCGGGAUCCAAUCCAGAUUAAAAGUAAAGGUAUAUUGAUUCAAUAUUUUUGUCUGACUCAGGAAAAAUUAUAAAAAAUGCGUCCGUUGAAAUAAAAAGUGUGACUUUUUAAUUUUUUACUUCUCAUAAUUUUGGCUCAGUGAAUCAAUUUUGAUGUAUUUAAUAAUAAUCAAUCAAUAAUGAAAUAUGAAUAAUCUAUAAUUGUGUCCAAAUCCAAAUCUCUCUUUCUGGCAGCACUGGGCUUCCAUAGCAGGACGUCGUGUGGUUGAUGGUUAUUGCUCAACUGGUUCUGCCAAAUGUGGGCGGAGCUGGAUGUCUUUGUUUUGUUUUUCUUGGAUACUAACACGGGUCUUUUGUAUGUGAUCCCCCCCCCCCAUCCAUUAUAUUGAACCAUUAUAUUGUGGUG
ensembl:lncRNA